rnacentral:piRNA from 1 species
UAUUAGGUAAUGAUGGAUUCCCACUUUGAG